AACGAACGCUGGCGGCAUGCCUAACACAUGCAAGUCGAACGAGACCUUCGGGUCUAGUGGCGCACGGGUGCGUAACGCGUGGGAAUCUGCCCUCUGGUACGGAAUAACUCAGGGAAACUUGAGCUAAUACCGUAUAAUGACUUCGGUCCAAAGAUUUAUCGCCUGAGGAUGAGCCCGCGUCGGAUUAGCUAGUUGGUGAGGUAAAGGCUCACCAAGGCGACGAUCCGUAGCUGGUCUGAGAGGAUGAUCAGCCACACUGGGACUGAGACACGGCCCAGACUCCUACGGGAGGCAGCAGUGGGGAAUAUUGGACAAUGGGCGAAAGCCUGAUCCAGCAAUGCCGCGUGAGUGAUGAAGGCCUUAGGGUUGUAAAGCUCUUUUACCCGGGAUGAUAAUGACAGUACCGGGAGAAUAAGCCCCGGCUAACUCCGUGCCAGCCGCCGCCGUAA
rnacentral:rRNA from 1 species